GGGGCGGGUGGCGACGCCGCUGGGGAGAUGCCAAAAAACCAAAACAAAAACCCGUUUUCGUUUUGUCCGCACCAGCCGAAAGGGGGGGGGGAAAAAAAUACAAGAAAAAAAGGGAGCGGGCGCCCGCGCGGGGGAGCGAGGGAGAUGCACGCCGCGAGGAAGCCGCCGGGCGCCGAGACGGGCCUGCGGCCGCUUCCCUCUCGAGGAGCCUCGGCAGUAAUUCUCGCUCCUUGUUCCCCUCGGCCUGCCCACUCCGGCUCGCCUGCCAAGUCCGAGUUGGCACGGCUUCCCCGGCAGCGCCAAACAAAGCCGUCGCCCGGCCCCGAGCAGGCGCUGACAGUAAGCAAAGUGACAGGCGCAUCUUCCGCGUGUUAAUCCAAGCGGCGAGCGGGCGGGCGGCCGGGCGCCGCGGCCCCCCCCGGCCACCCCCCCCCCCGCCGCCACCCCGGGCCCCCCACGGGCCGCGCGCCCCGGCCGCGGUGCUCCCCGGGCGCCCGGCGUGGGCCGCGCGAAGGCCCCCCGCGCCCAAGCGGCGCCGGGAAUCCAGAAAUCUCCCUCGGCCUCGGAGGAUUUAAAUCAAAACAAGCGCUCGAGCCACCCCGGGCCGCGGGCAAACAAGGCCACUCGGCAUCCGCGGUACCUGUUCCCGCUGUCUUCAUCUCGCCUUGGAAGCGUGACAAGAGCGAACUCGCCUCUGGUGGGCUCUCAAAGCCGCGGGGCUGUAACCCUUUGCAGGAAGUUGGCACCGAUCCCAGCAAAAAAAAAAAAAAAAAAAAAAAAACGUGUAUUUUUGCCCGGCACACUGGACCCAACGCGAGGGGAAGGAGGAGGGGGGGGGAGAAGAGAGAAAAAAAAGAAAAAAAAAGAAAAAAAAAUCGGAUGGAAACAGCGCGGCUCCAACUCGGCGAGGACAAUGCCCGGGAAAACGUCGAGAUUAGCGGAGCUCUCGAAAUCCAUCGCGCCCUCCCCGUGCCUGAACCGGUCGCCCCCUCGCCUCGCCUUUCUCGUACUCCCGGCGCCUGAAUUAUUCCAGUCCGCAAGCAGGAGGGAGCGUACAGUACCGGGUCGCGCGGAGCUGCCGAGAGCCUCGCAACAGGAAAGCGAGCGAGCGAGCGGGCGGCGAGCGCGCCACGGCGCUCACAAUCGGCCAGCGAGAAGAGCAAGGAGACAUUAACAUCCAAUUAGUGCCGUGUUUAACGAGGGAGACAGAGGCGGCUGUUGUUUUAUUGCCCUGUUCUUUUCAGUCGCAUCUGACAGGCAGCGGGGAAGGCACCCCUGCUCGAAGUGACGUCAUCAUAUUUUAUUUUUUUAUUUAUUUAUUUUUUUUCUUUCCUUUUUCCUCUCCCCCCCGGCUUUCCUCCUCCAAGUUUCUCGGCGACGUCUCGGCAGCUCGGCUAAGGGAAACUCGGCGCUUUCGGCUCCCCCCUUCUCCGCCUCCGGCCUCCUUCGCCCCCUCCCCGACGCCGGCCCUCGAAAAACAAACGCGCCAACCCACCCCGAAGUCUUUGUCCUUCCAAAAAGCCAAAAGCGAAAACGUGCGGGCGAAGGCGGCCGGCGCGCGGCGGAGGCUCUCCCGGCGCGCGGGGCUGCGUGCGUGCGUGCGUGCCUGCCUGCCCGUCUCGCUCGCGCUCCUCUGCCGAGACGGCUCGCGCGGCUUGUAAAACUUUGCGGCAUGUGACUCCGCUCCCAGCCUCCUUUGGCAGCGUGACAAGAACCGCUCCGGCGGAUCGGCGAGCGCGGGCGGCUUUUAAGGAAGAAACUCAAUUCAGAAAGAUUAAGGAAUUACGGCGUUUUUCAUCAAGGGGCCGCGCGGGCUGGGCGGCGGGCGGCCGCCGGGAGGGAAGGGGCAGCGUCGAGCGGCCGGGCCGAGGAGGGGGGAGAGGAAUCGAACCGGGAGCCGGAGAGACUUAUUUAACGGUCGUGUUUCCCUCCUCCCCUCCGCAGGCCGUGGCGGGGGGGGGCCGCGGCGACCAGCGAGUGCAGCCCGGCAGCCGGGACGGCCCCUGUGUCACCGCCGGGGCCGCCGCACGCGGGGAGGAGCGCCUUCGCCGGCACCCCGCGGCCUGGCUCGUCCCCCAAGGCCUCCUCGCGGGGCCCAACGCCGCAGAGCUCUCAUCCCCCCCCGUCAAACCCCUCCGGAGCGGCGGGGAGCCUGACCCGCUCCGGCGGGAGAUUCCCUCUUAAACCCCUCCGGAGCGGCGGGGAGCCUGACCCGCUCCCGUGGGAGAUUCCCUCUUAAACCCCUCCGGCGGCAGCUGGGGAGGCCAUGGCCAACGCGGCAGGUCAGGCCGUGGCCAGGUAACCUCCGGCUCCAAAGGUUUUUCCAAAUGUCCCCCCUAAAUCGCCGCCGGCGUGAUUCCCGGCCUUUAUUCCGCAAAUCCGAAGACUAAAUGCCGCCGUCAACCCCGGAUCCCGCACUCGCAGGGGCACGCAGGUGGGAAGGGGCGUGCGGCGGCCGGACGGGCCGGCUUCGGCCGUGCCUGGAGGAGUCCGGAGCAUCGCGGAGGCUGGAGGUGCCCCCUCCUCUGUCCCGGGGCUGCACUACACUCACGGGGAAGAACCGCCAGCUGUAAUGGGUUUUUUUUCCUUAUUUCCAGCUGAAAUUUCCCUUGGCGCUGCUGGUGCCACCUCGCCCCCGUCCUUUCGCUGUGCCCCUCUGGCUCCGUCUCCUCCGUAACCUCCCGCUUUGGGUGAAGGCUCUGCUGGGGACCGGGAUCACCCCUGCUCCCAGGCCACGGGGGACGGAGCCCUGCCAAAAUGGGGGACGGACCCGCGGCCACCGCGCCAGCUCGCCCGGCCGGAGCGGAGGUUGCGCCUGGGUCCGGUCCAAGGCCUCACCCCGAGCGUUUCCCGGCAGAACCAGCCAGCCCCACCUCCCCGCCGGCAGCAUCAAUGCCGAGAGGGUUAUUUUUUAAUUACGGGCCUACGUGGAGCUCUCCGCCGCGGGAGAACAGAGCAAACAGCCUUAUCAAGGGCAGCCACGCCGCGGGGACACUUCCUCGUGCAUGGCCGCAAGACGGGGGCCCCCUCACCGCUGCCGGGGUUGGCAAGGGCUGGCGGGGGAACCGCGGCCCACGGCCUUCCUCGCCGCUCCCAGCGACCAGAUACCAGGGUGACGGGCACCGUAGAGCCAUUUGGAGAGGGCUGCCUGGCUGGCUUCCUCCCGGCUCUGCAGAGAGGAAAGCUGCAGGGCUGGAAGCGAAUUUGGUCUUAGCCGAAGGGUCGUUAGCGGGAUGGCUCUGGAGGGGGUAAAGGGAGGAGGAUGAGACGAUUGCAAUCCGUCCAAGCUCCCUUGUUCUUUCCCUGUGCACAGGGCCAUUGGCACCAUCGGCCGAGCAGGGCACCAGCACCUUGCUGCAGCCCAAAGCCUGCAAGGGUCGAAGCGCCCCGAAGAGCCACCCAGGAGCCUGCGGGACCAGGGCCCAAGCUCGGCUCAAGAACCAGCAUCCACGCUAGCCUGAUCGCAGCAAGCAGCCCUUCCGCGAGCCGGGCACCAGCAUGGCACACGGUCAGCCGGAUCGCAGAGUCGAGGCCCCACGGGAAGCGAGGGCAGCUUUGACCUCAGUUUCCCUCUCCCGUCGGCGGCUGCGGUCCCUGCCGCUCCCGUUCCCCGGCAGCCGGGAGCAGUCCAGGCCAAAGUCCUGGCAAUCUCUGCUUUCCACUAAGGACUGACAAACACCGCGCGGGCAUGGAAAGGCAGCGAUCUCCGCCCGUCGGAUUUUCAUGCAGGAGAGAGUCAAUAUUUAAACACAGGUUUGUUUCCUUGCUAGAUAGGGAAGAGACGUGGCCCCUGCCAGGGGUCCGAGCUGCCUGGCUCUGUCCCAAGCGCCAGCUCUCCUGACCAAGCCAAACCACACGUUUCAGCCCGGAUGCCCGUCGCGGGAGCGGGAGCCCACCUCCCGCCAGCUGUGCUGCACCAGCACCAGGUGCAGGGCAGGGCACCCGCUAACGAGCUGACGAGGCCCCAGCACCCCCUGGGCAGCAAUUUAAGAGCAGUGUAGAAGCUCAGCCAGGAUUUGGGCUGUUUCCUAGCCAGCUCCUGAUGCAGGCCCUGUCCCCAUGGCAGGUCACCUUGAUUGAGGCAAGGGAUGAGAAGAACCUGGGCUAGAAAAGAGGAGGAGGGCUCCAUCUACAAUACAAAUGAGCAGGGCAGGAGGCCAAGUUAUUGCAGGACUGUUUUGUAGUGAAGAAAGGAACUUAACCAUCUCUCAUGCAUGCAAAACCCUCCACCAACAAACCUACAUCAUACAAACCCCUGCUGUGUCCUCAGAGCACUGUCAAAACAGAGCCAAGAGUUGGUUCAUCCUGAAUACGAGCCUCCUCCCGUUACAGCCUCUGCCCCCCAGUGAAUCGGCUCUUCCCCAAACAUCAGCCCCAGCCGAGGAACACGCUUCCCGUUUGGCAGCAACACAAGAGGCCGGCCGAGACCUUUAACUGCUGCUCCCUGAUGCCAGGAUAGAUGCUGAGUGUAGAGGGCUCUGCAGAGCAUCCUCUCCAUGGUACAUCCACCCUACAGCUGAAGCUGCACUGUGGAGCCCCUGAAGUGCAACAAGCCACGGGAAGAAGGCCAGCGUCUGGACCAUGACCUUCUUUUUCCCUCCUUGCGACAAGAGGUCAUGGCCUCGCACCGGCAGGAAGAAACGCUCACCGUAAGUGAAGAAGCCAGGCAGGU